rnacentral:rRNA from 1 species
CCUACGUGGUGCAGCAGUGAGGAAUAUUGGUCAAUGGACGAGAGUCUGAACCAGCCAAGUAGCGUGAAGGAUGACUGCCCUAUGGGUUGUAAACUUCUUUUAUAUGGGAAUAAAACGUUCCACGUGUGGGAUUUUGUAUGUACCAUAUGAAUAAGGAUCGGCUAACUCCGUGCCAGCAGCCGCGGUAAUACGGAGGAUCCGAGCGUUCUCCGGAUUGAUUGGGUUUAAAGGGCGCGUAGGUGGAUUGUUAAGUCAGUUGUGAAAGUUUGCGGCUCAACCGUAAAAUUGCAGUUGAAACUGGCAGUCUUGAGUACAGUAGAGGUGGGCGGAAGUCGUGGUGUAGCGGUGAAAUGCUUAGAUAUCACGAAGAACUCCGAUGGCGAAGGCAGUUCACUGGACUGCAACUGACACUGAGGCUCGAAAGUGUGGGUAUCAAACAGGAUUAGAUACCCUGGUAGUC